CUACAAAGGAAUUGACGGGACCCGCACAAGCGGUGGAUGAUGUGGAUUAAUUCGAUGCAACGCGAAGAACCUUACCUACCCUUGACAUGUCCGGAACUUGCCAGAGAUGGCUUGGUGCCCGAAAGGGAACCGGAACACAGGUGCUGCAUGGCUGUCGUCAGCUCGUGUCGUGAGAUGUUGGGUUAAGUCCCGCAACGAGCGCAACCCUUGUCCUUAGUUGCUACGCAAGAGCACUCUAAGGAGACUGCCGGUGAUAAACCGGAGGAAGGCGGGGAUGACGUCAAGUCCUCAUGGCCCUUACAUCCCGGGCUACACACGUGCUACAAUGGCAGGUACAGAGGGCUGCGAAGCCGCGAGGUGGAGCGAAUCCCAGAAAACCUGUCUCAGUCCGGAUUGAAGUCUGCAACUCGACUUCAUGAAGGCGGAAUCGCUAGUAACCGCGAAUCAGCAGGUCGCGGUGAAUACGUUCCCGGGCCUU
rnacentral:rRNA from 1 species